GCUGGGUGUGGUGGCGCAUGCCUGUAAUCCCAGCUACUCAGGAGGCUGAGGCAGGAGGAUCACUUGAACCCAGGAGGUGGAGGUUGCAGUGAGCCGAGAUCAUGCCACUGCACUCCAGCCUGGGUGACAGAGUGAGACUCCAUCUCAA
rnacentral:SRP_RNA from 2 species